CCCAGACUCCUACGGGAGGCAGCAGUGGGGAAUAUUGGGCAAUGGGCGCAAGCCUGACCCAGCAACGCCGCGUGAAGGAAGAAGGCUUUCGGAUUGUAAACUCCUUUUGUUAGAGAAGAUAAUGACGGUAUCUAACGAAUAAGCACCGGCUAACUCCGUGCCAGCAGCCGCGGUAAUACGGAGGGUGCAAGCGUUACUCGGAAUCACUGGGCGUAAAGAGCGCGUAGGCGGGAUAGCAAGUCAGAUGUGAAAUCCUAUGGCUUAACCAUAGAACUGCAUUUGAAACUGUUAUUCUAGAGUAUGGGAGAGGUAGGUGGAAUUCUUGGUGUAGGGGUAAAAUCCGUAGAGAUCAAGAGGAAUACUCAUUGCGAAGGCGACCUGCUAGAACAUAACUGACGCUGAUGCGCGAAAGCGUGGGGAGCAAACAGGAUUAGAUACCCCAGUAA
rnacentral:rRNA from 1 species